AGGUUUGAUCCUGGCUCAGAUUGAACGCUGGCGGUAUGCUUAACACAUGCAAGUCGAACGGUAGCAGGCCUUCGGGCGCUGACGAGUGGCGGACGGGUGAGUAACGCGUAGGAAUCUGCCUCAUAGUGGGGGACAACGUGGGGAAACUCACGCUAAUACCGCAUACGCCCUACGGGGGAAAGCGGGGGAUCGCAAGACCUCGCGCUAUGAGAUGAGCCUGCGUUAGAUUAGCUAGUUGGUAGGGUAAAGGCCUACCAAGGCGACGAUCUAUAGCUGGUCUGAGAGGACGAUCAGCCACACUGGGACUGAGACACGGCCCAGACUCCUACGGGAGGCAGCAGUGGGGAAUAUUGGACAAUGGGCGCAAGCCUGAUCCAGCAAUACCGCGUGUGUGAAGAAGGCCUUAGGGUUGUAAAGCACUUUCAAUGGGGAGGAAAACCUGCCGGUCAAUACCCGGUAGCUUGACAUUACCUGUAGAAGAAGCACCGGCUAACUCCGUGCCAGCAGCCGCGGUAAUACGGAGGGUGCGAGCGUUAAUCGGAAUUACUGGGCGUAAAGCGUGCGUAGGCGGUUCGUUAAGUCAGAUGUGAAAGCCCCGGGCUCAACCUGGGAACUGCAUUUGAAACUGGCGGACUAGAGUUUAGUAGAGGGGAGUGGAAUUUCAGGUGUAGCGGUGAAAUGCGUAGAUAUCUGAAGGAACACCAGUGGCGAAGGCGACUCCCUGGACUAGAACUGACGCUGAGGUACGAAAGCGUGGGUAGCAAACAGGAUUAGAUACCCUGGUAGUCCACGCCGUAAACGAUGUCAACUAGCCGUUGGUCCUAUUUACAGGAUUAGUGGCGCAGCUAACGCAUUAAGUUGGCCGCCUGGGGAGUACGGCCGCAAGGUUAAAACUCAAAGGAAUUGACGG
rnacentral:rRNA from 1 species